UUUUGGUACCUCGCAAUGGUGUUUAGUUUACUUGGUCAGAUUCGGAAGAAAGCAGCCAGAAUUAAGUUACCGUGUGCCGAGGAGUUGCUGGAAAUG
rnacentral:SRP_RNA from 1 species